rnacentral:lncRNA from 1 species
UAGGUUGACAUCACCCAGUUCAGACAUACUUGCUGCACAAAACAAGGACUGGCCAUCAUCACUACAUGUGUGAUUCACCUGGGAAAAUUAUCUUUUUCUAUUUUUUUAAAUUUAUGUUAAUAUAGUGGACAGUGUGUUAUGAUUUACUUCUCUGCUACCUGAAGACACUCUUGACACAUACCACUGGAAUUCACACCACACUGGUUACCAAGAACUGAAUCUGCAGGUAAAUAGGCAGGUUUCCAUGCCUUGAUCCGCCUGCCCGAACACACAAAUGAAUGCCUUUGACACAGUGUUGAACAGUUGCCACUCACACAGGCCACGAUGGAAUCGAUGGUGUGUUUCGUUCUCAGCAAUGGUGUAGACCGCUUGAGUUGCAGGCUGGAGGGGUGUGCUCGAGUUCCCACCGAAAAGUCUGUUGUUGUAACGGCAGUCUCCCUCAACACUUAUCUUGUGAUCACUGGAAAUCUUCCAAGGCAUCGGGAACAGCUGGGUGAGGCCGAAGUAACCGCAUAUUGCCAGUCGUCCCCUGUGAAUCGGUGACCACAUAUGAAGAUGCACCUCGACUCGUUGACGGCUUAGCCACUGCAUCAAAGUCUUCCCUGGACAGCCUGGUACAGGCCAAAUCAGACCAACACAGUGACACUCCUCAAAGAGUUAUCCCCCCUUGACCAGCCGUCAACAUAUAACCAAGUGACUUUCGUGAAGUGCCAAAUGUUAGUAUUCAUGUUGGAGCAAUAAAAUUUAUAAACCGAAAAA